GAGUAUUAGCUGGAGGGGAGCUUGCUGGCUGGAGUUUGCCUCUUUCGGGCCAACUCUCACUCACAUUUCUGAAAGGAACCGAGGCUGUUCUUCCUCGUGGUCUCGUCCUCUCGGCUCGUUCAAAAAUCUGGGGCCGAGACGGCCCUUGACGAAGGCCGAAGUAGCCCUUAGGGAUUUCUAAAUGUAAAAGUGUAGCUCGACUUUUAUUUUCGUCGUCAAAGAUUGUAACUUUAGUUUGAGAUUCUGAAAACUGUAAUUUGUACCCUUUCUCAAGAAAUAAAAAUACUAUUUCAUUCGUUAAA